rnacentral:rRNA from 1 species
CUACGGGAUGCAGCAGUGAGGAAUAUUGCACAAUGGGGGGAACCCUGAUGCAGCAACGCCGCGUGGAGGAUGACGCAUUUCGGUGUGUAAACUCCUUUUAUAUGUCAAGAAAAUGACGGUAGCAUAUGAAUAAGCACCGGCUAACUCCGUGCCAGCAGCCGCGGGUAAUACGGAGGGUGCAAGCGUUACUCGGAAUCACUGGGCGUAAAGGACGCGUAGGCGGGUUGGAAAGUCAGGUGUGAAAUCCUACAGCUUAACUGUAGAACUGCACUUGAAACUUCUAAUCUAGAGUAUGGGAGGGGGAGAUGGAAUUAGUGGUGUAGGGGUAAAAUCCGUAGAUAUCACUAGGAAUACCUAAAGCGAAGGCGAUCUCCUGGAACAUUACUGACGCUAAGGCGUGAAAGCGUGGGGAGCAAACAGGAUUAGAUACCCCCGUAGUC